UACGUAGGUGGCAAGCGUUAUCCGGAAUUAUUGGGCGUAAAGCGCUCGCAGGCGGUUACUUAAGUCUGAUGUGAAAGCCCACGGCUCAACCGUGGAGGGUCAUUGGAAACUGGGAGACUUGAGUGCAGAAGAGGAGAGUGGAAUUCCACGUGUAGCGGUGAAAUGCGUAGAGAUGUGGAGGAACACCAGUGGCGAAGGCGACUCUCUGGUCUGUAACUGACGCUGAGGAGCGAAAGCGUGGGGAGCAAACAGG
rnacentral:rRNA from 1 species